GACGAACGCUGGCGGCGUGCCUAAUACAUGCAAGUAGAACGCAGUUGCGAAGGGGUGAGUAACGGGUAGGUAACUGCCGCAUAGCGGGGGUUAACUAUUGGAAACGAUAGCUAAUACCGCAUACUUUGAGAUGGACCUGAGUUGUAUUAGCUGGUUGGUGAGGUAAAGGGUCACCAAGGCGCCGCUACAUAACCGACCUUAGAGGUGUCUCGGCCAACCUGGGACCUGGACACGGACCAGUCUUCUACGGGGAGCCGCAUGAGGGCAUCUUCGGCAAUGGACGGAAGUCUGACCGGGCAACGCCGCGUGAGUGAAGAAGGGUUUCGGAUCCGAAAGCUCUGUUGGUAGAGAAGCGGUAACUAACCAGAAAGCGACGGCUAACUACGUGCCAGCCGCCGCGGUAAUUC
rnacentral:rRNA from 1 species